rnacentral:rRNA from 1 species
CCCGCUGAACUUAAGCAUAUUAAUAAGCGGAGGAAAAGAAACUAACAAGGAUUCCCUUAGUAACGGCGAGUGAAGUGGGUAAAGCUCAACGUUAAAAUCAGCCCGGUUUUCCGGUACGAAUUGUAGUUUAAAGAGGCGUUUUCGGUGACACCCGGGUAUAAAUCCCUUGGAACAGGGUAUCAUGGAGGGUGAGAAUCCCGUCUUUGACCCGGAGGCAGUCGCCAAGUGAUACGUUCUCAAAGAGUCGAGUUGUUUGGGAAUGCAGCUCAAAAUGGGUGGUAAAUUUCAUCUAAAGCUAAAUAACGGCGAGAGACCGAUAGCGAACAAGUACCGUGAGGGAAAGAUGAAAAGAACUUUGAAAAGAGAGUUAAACAGUACGUGAAAUUGUUGAAAGGGAAACGUAUGAAACCAGUCAUGUGCGCAAGGAAUCAACUAUCUAAUCAGAGUGCCUUUUGGCUGGAGAGCGCAAGCCUCCGUCUUUGAGGCUACGAUUUUUCAGAUGUGUGCACUUUUUUGCGUGCAGGCCAACAUCGGUUCGGAUCGCCGGAUAAAGUACUUGUGUAUAUCGAUAUAACGAUAACCCGGUUAAUACGGCGGUCAGGACCGAGGAUCGCAGCUCGUGCCUUCAGACUUGGGAACCUCUUUGCUCGCAAGCGCUCAUGUCCCAGCUGCUUGCAGAUGGGAUGUGCUGUCGUGCGCGACUUUUGACGAGUUCCACAUAUCGAGCUUAGGAUGUUGGCGUAAUGGUUUUAUACGACCCGUCUUGAAACACGG